ensembl:lncRNA
GUUUACGCCGUCCAGUCCCACCAUCGCACCGCCGCUGGCACCGUGACAAUGUGUGUGUGUGUGUGUGUGUGUGUGUGCGCGAGCUUAAAGACAUAAGCCGUGUGGUGGCCGGCAGCAGUGAUGUCAUCGGUGUCUCUUGCCUCACCCUUCCAGAGACAGGCGGGUGAGUCAGGCGCGGGGGGGCCCAAGUCUUCGGCCCAGCCGCUGCUCAUGAGAACCUUUUCAGACGAGUCCAAUACAGUGGUGUGAACAGCUUUCAGAGAACUGCCAUCCACAGACAUUCAGAUUGCAGCUGUUACACCACUAUCCUACAAACAUCUCAAGGAAGGAGAGUAGCGGGGGCCAUGAAGUAGUAGAACAACAAGAACAGCACCAACAACAGGAACCUUUCAGGACCUCAUUCCAGUCAGGACCCUAGUCCGUCCGCCAUCUUGCCUGAUGUAAAAGAGUCAUGUUAAUGGUUAAAAAGAGAGACUGAAGACAAGAGUCAAGUAAAAGAGAAGCCAACCAACCCCAGGAGGGAGGGGGGAGUUCAGAGAUGUCUACUGGGGGGUGGGGUUGGACAUGCUGGUGCUGCGCCCCUCCCUGCCCUACCUCCUCCCGUCUCCCCCUCAGCAUGUCCUGCAGAGCCGCAAUAGCCCCCCCAAACACCGGCCCUCCCCUUGUUUCCUUUGGUUCUGGGCGGAAUGGACGGACGACUGACUCGGAUGACGGGCAUGUGUUUCUUCACUUUCUUUUUUUAAUUUUAUUUUCAUUUCUUAAAUUUUCUACGACUUUGUGCGCCUUCUCAGAAGAUCUGCGUCCCUAGCAACGGUUCCCUCUGCAGCAACAGAACCUCACUAGAACCGCUCGCGUUCUGAACCGUGUUGCUCCAGCCACCAUCAGCAAGGAUAUCCCUUCUUUUGGUUUGCACCAUGUUCCAUGAUAUAAGAGUGCCACUUUCGCAAGUUGUUUUUUUUUUCCUUCCACUUUUAAUGGUUAAUGCACUAUCCACACUAUUUACAUGUAUAUUUUUGUUCCAUUCCAAAGGCUCCAGCAUGGGUUGUUUUCUGCAGGUGAAACAUUGUUCCCGUACUGUAAGACAGACGGUUCAGGAUAGAGGCAGGGAAAACGAUAAACCAGACCUGUCUUCUAAACAGAGAUUUAAACCGUGUCACAGGGUUCUGCAAUGGAUCUGCCAUGGUUCCUGACUUCGCUAACGGUUUGGUGCUUUGAGCUUGACCUAAAUCUUCCAAUCUCAGCGAAAAAUUAAUUGAAGAGGUCCCAGUUUUAGACGAGAUGAUUUCGUAUAUCUGCUGCACUGUAAAUACCUUAGAGAUUUAUGAUAGUUUAAGCUCAAAGCCAAAAAUAAACACGUGUGACGCGAAAGGCAUGUGUAUAAUGCCCUCUAUUCUAGCUAGCAGGAGUGAUGUUGUACGAUGGUUGUGUGUUACAGAGGUGCGUAUAUAGAGAGUAUAUUUGAGUGUAAUGAGCUGCAUAUGCUGUGUUGUAUGCAGUGGCAGACAAGAUAACUUGAACCUCGUAGAAAUAGUAUGGUCGCCAAAAUCUGCACUAUGAGGGCCCGUGGAGUUUCCCGCCAAAUCUAGCUGCCGAGGGUCAUGUGACUUGCCUGAGUACACUGAAUCAAACCAGAUCGAUAGAUGCCAACAUGUGCGCGUACACAAUGUCCAAACACACACACACACAAACACACACACGCAGACACUCCCACACACACACUCCCACACUCGAUACAUGAAUAAACGCACUCAUGCACUAAAAAGCCUAAUUGAGGUGUAUAUUCAUACGGUCCAUUAGCUGUGUAGUUUUGCCACUGUUUGUCUCGGGAAGGGUUAGCAGGAGCUUGGAGAUGGGUCGCCAAGCUUCCUCAUCCGCUCUGCACCAGGUCAUUGUACUGAAAUGAAUGCCACUGGGAGGCAUUUACCUCCUCCACAUUAUCCACCCACACACUCACUAUGCCACCAGUCAGCUUCAGCCAUAUCUAUGUACAGGACAGAGCGAGCCAGGGGGAUUGAGUGGAAACCGUCCCUACCUUCUCCGCCCCUUCCCUGCGUCCAAACCAGCCACCUUUUUAGCGCUUCUUGCAUUCCAUGCCAUGAUUUGAAUCACUUUAAGAUAUACUGUUAUGUCGAUUAUAUUAUAUGCUUUGUUCUAUUUAGUUUUCUUUUUCAAACAAAUCUAUCUAUUUGUCAUAUUUAUUUAAGCUUGAUUUUUCUCACAAAUUCGUAUAUAUUUUUUAUUACGUGAAUCUUUUUCGGUUUGUCGCAUAUUUUUACUGUGGAGAAGAAUUGACGUUGUGCCAGUUGAGUGUGUCGACCCCAGACGGCUAUGGGGCGAGUCCCAUUCGAUGUCCUUUCUCUCUCUCUCUCUCUCUCUCUGUGUGGGUAUGUUUUAUUCAUUUGUCCAGAGCCCCCCCUAUACAUGGUUCUCCCAACCGCCCAAAACGUGUCGCCGAUUAUUACUAUUCAUUUUUCAAAUCCCCGUUUUUUGUCAGUGAACACUGACAUGGAAGAGCACUGCUCUCUCGUGGGCCGGUGACAACGUGCCCUGCUCUCGUUUGACCUUUGACCCACCCGUGUGUUGGUUCUGAGACACGGCAACGAGGUGGCGAUGGCAUGAAGCCGACGCCGGUGUCGGUACCACUGGUUCCCUGCGGAUGCACCACCGUGACUUUAUAUCAUGACUUGUUUUGUACACAGGAGGCUCCCGUACCAGCCAGGCCGGUACGAUCAAGUUCGAGAACGAGAACAGGCCUCUGAUGCUUUUUAACGCGUUUUCAUUUGUGUUCUUAAAUGGGGUUAAAAAAAGAAAGGUUGUUCAGAACCUUGUUUCUAUUGAAUGUUUUUUAGUGUUUCUCCGGGGAGCUCACUAACGGCUAACAGGAGAGCUAAUGUACGUGGCGUUAUGUCCAGAGAGGUUACAUUACCCUCUACUCUGGCGUACCAUACCCCCAGAGAUUACCGUCACUGGGGCCGGGGGCUCAACUGAGAGGGAGAGGGAGAGGGGGGUGCUGCCUGCUUGGAUGACAAACAAACCUUUAAACCAGAUACCAGAGAUGAUAUUUUCAAUGCUUCAAAGAAACAAAAUCCUGGAUUCUAAUGUAUUUGCUUGACUAAAUGAAAAAAAAAAAAAAAGAGAAAUACUUUUAAUGCAAACUUUUUUCAGCCCCCUUUUUUUAUAAUAAAAAUCGAUAACCUCAAAAUAAAAAAAAAACGACAACAAAGAAAGCACGCGAGGCUCGGUCAGUUCAGAGAAUGUGGGUGGAUGUGCCAAAGAGGCAGGGAGGGGGGGGAGGGGUGUACUGGUCAAGUUUCUACCCUUCCACCCCUCACAUCGGGGAAACCCCCUCCCUCCUCUGGCCUGUUGGGUCCUCAGCCUCCCCUCUCAACCUUCAAGAUGAAUGUACCUCUUUAUGACCAGUAUGUUCAAUACCAGAUUUUCUGUAAUAAAGCAGAAUGUUUUGAAAAAA